rnacentral:snRNA from 1 species
AUACCUACCUGGCAGAGAAAACAGAAUGAUCAGAAAGGUAGUUUUCCCAGGGUGAGGAUCAUUCAUUGUGCUCUGGGUGUGCUGACCCCUGGAUUUUCCCAAAUGCAGGAAACACGACUGCAUAAUUUGUGGUAGUGGGGGACUAUGUUAGUGCAUAUAUAUAUG